UACGUAGGGGGCAAGCGUUGUCCGGAAUCAUUGGGCGUAAAGAGCGUGUAGGCGGCCCGAUAAGUCCGCCGUGAAAGUCCAGGGCUCAACCCUGGAAUGCCGGUGGAUACUGCCGGGCUAGAGUCCGGAAGAGGCGAGUGGAAUUCCUGGUGUAGCGGUGAAAUGCGCAGAUAUCAGGAGGAACACCGAUGGCGAAGGCAGCUCGCUGGGACGGUACUGACGCUGAGACGCGAAAGCGUGGGGAGCAAACAGG
rnacentral:rRNA from 1 species